rnacentral:rRNA from 1 species
AAUCAACGCUGGCGGCGUGCCUAACACAUGCAAGUCGAACGCGAAAAUCCCGCAAGGGAUUAGUAGCGUGGCAAACGGGUGAGUAACACGUGGGUGACCUGCCUUCGAGUGGGGGAUAACGUCCCGAAAGGGACGCUAAUACCGCAUGACAUCCUGCUUUUGAAGAGGCGGAGAUCAAAGCUGGGGAUCGCAAGACCUAGCGCUUGAAGAGGGGCCCGCGCCUGAUUAGCUAGUUGGUGGGGUAACGGCUCACCAAGGCAACGAUCAGUA